AAAAACAUAGUAUAAUUAAAUACAUUUCAUUUACACUGAGAAUAUACUUAGAUGUUAAGUUGUUUUUA
rnacentral:tRNA from 1 species